AGUCAUUUGGAUUGGCUCCAAGCCCUCUAAUGGAAUUGACCACUCCAUUUACCCUGAUCAUGUAAGUAUCAAUGUUCUCUCCAUCUUACAUUAAGAGACUUUCAAACUAAGCCCUGAAGAUCUAUAGCUUGGCUUUUCUAGAUUUUGUGAUCUCCUUCACAGAUACUCUUGAGCUUGUCUCAGAUAUCUUUUGCUGAAUCACAAUCCAACACCUUGACCAUAACACUCUUGUCCAAUGCUGAGAAAAUAAUAUUUAUUGCCUUCAGAUUGUGACCAUAAGCUUUCUUAGCUUCAUUAUUUAUAAGAGUUGUCUCUGAUUCUUUGUGAUUAAUUAGGAUUGAUGUCCAAACAUCAUACCUAAGAGAGCCUAGAUAUGAUUGCAUCAUUCUCUUCCAAAACACAUAAUUUGAUUCAUCAAAUCUCAGAGCAUUCUAUAAAGAACCUUCAACUGUUGUAUUACCUCUAGAUCGGAUCGAAGUCCUCUAUGGGGAGUUGUAUUGGCAGAGGCUAGCAGAAAGCACCGGAGAUAACGACACGUGGCAUCUGGAUCUGGAAUCUGGAUUUUGAAAAUAACCGGUUCAUCCUCAACCAAAACCCCAAAACCUAAGGUUCCUUUACCGUGAGAUGCUGAUCGAGGGAAAACCUAGGCUCUUCAUCCUUUUUCUUCGAGGAUUCUUGUUGUCCAUCCUUUAUCUCUCUCAUUCGAACGAAGAAAGUAAAUCGAUCGAUGUCCUUCUUCUCCAGAUCUGCAAUAGCGACUUGGUUUGUGUUUCAUUUUCUUAUACUUCUUUCCUUUAUCGGUUGAAGACGAUGGACUUCUAACUUGUUCCUUGUGUUUAAAAAAUCUCUCCUUUUUUCUGGUUUUAUGUGAUCUAAUCUCAUUUUCAUUUUCUUUUGCGAUGAAUAUUGUGUGAGACUGUAAUAGAGAAAAGAAGAAGAAGAGAAGAUUUUAUAAGUCGUUUAAGUGGUUUCAACUGUCUGAGAUUAUCCAUUGGUGAAUAGAGAAUAGAGCAUGGAAAAUAUGUCCGGAUGUUUUGUUCUUUUUUUAACUACUUUUGCAUCAAUAUUACCUGUGAGACUUCAUUGGUCUAUGUUUUCAAAGUUUACCUUUGGAAUGGGGUUCCAUGGAUUAUAGGACCAGUGAAAAGUUAUUAGUGUUGAAAUUUUUUUCAUAAUAUUUUCCUUAAUUAGUAGAUUAGGUCUCUUAUCUCAUUCUGAUCUGGAAAAAGCAACAAGCAGUUGUUAUGUACCAACAAUAGAUAAACAUCUGUUACAGGUUUUAUCCUCACUUUUAAUAGAAACAUCAGAUAUCGGAGAGUUGCUCUU